GUGAGGAAUUUUCCGCAAUGGGCGAAAGCCUGACGGAGCAAUGCCGCGUGAAGGAUGAAGGCCUAUGGGUUGUAAACUUCUUUUCUCAGAAAAGAAUUAUGACGGUAUCUGAGGAAUAAGCAUCGGCUAACUCUGUGCCAGCAGCCGCGGUAAGACAGAGGAUGCAAGCGUUAUCCGGAAUGAUUGGGCGUAAAGCGUCUGUAGGUUGUUUAAAAAGUAUUCUGUCAAAGAUUAGGGCUUAACCCUAGAUAGGCAGAAUAAACUUUUAAGCUAGAGUUUGGUAGAGGCAGAGGGAAUUCCCGGUGGAGCGGUGAAAUGCGUAGAUAUCGGGAGGAACACCAAAGGCGAAGGCACUCUGCUGGGCCAAUACUAACACUGAGAGACGAAAGCGAGGGAAGCAAAUGGGAUUAGAUACCCGGGUAGUCC
rnacentral:rRNA from 1 species